UUGGGAAUUUUGCACAAUGGACGAAAGUCUGAUGCAGCGACGCCGCGUGGGGGAUGAAGGUUUUCGGAUUGUAAACCCCUUUUACUUGGGAAUAAUUUGUGAAUGUACCAAGUGAAUAAGCACCGGCUAACUCCGUGCCAGCAGCCGCGGUAAUACGGAGGGUGCAAACGUUGUCCGGAAUUACUGGGCGUAAAGCGCAUGUAGGUGGUCUUGUAAGUCAGCGAUGAAAGACCGACGCUUAACGUCGGGAACGUUUCUGAUACUGCAAGACUGGAGGGAAGCAGGGUAUGCGGAACUUUGAGUGUAGGAGUGAAAUCCGUAGAUAUUCAAAGGAACACCAAUGGCGAAGGCAGCAUACUGGGCUUCUUCUGACACUGAGAUGCGAAAGCGUGGGGAGCGAACGGGAUUAGAUACCCCGGUAGUCCACGCUGUAAACGUUGCUGCACUAGGUCUUGGGAGGGUACGACCCCCUUUUGGACCGAAGCUAACGCGUUAAGUGAGCCGCCUGGGGAGUACGAACGCAAGUUU
rnacentral:rRNA from 1 species